rnacentral:lncRNA from 10 species
CUAUAGAGCCCCAGGGGGAGUUUCCUCAGCCCUGGAAUUCAGGACACUUUCCUGCUUUUAUGAUACUGUCUUCACCCUCUGCAUACCAACCCCUCCCCAAUACAAAUUGGUGGCAAGUAGGUGGAGGAAGGAGGGUCCACUGGAGAACCCCCCCUUACCACCCAGCCCAGGAGCAAACAAUUUCUCCCCAGGGCUCAGAAGCUGCCUGUGAGCUUCUUGUUUGGGGCUCACACUGAGUUCCCCCUGUCCUUUAUUUGAGAUGAGUGACUCGUGACACCACAACUGCUGAAUCUACAGCCUCCAAAACCAUGCUGGGGUCCAAUCUCUAGCCCGGGCAGGAGGCAUUCUGCUGGUGCAUCUCAGUGUGCCCCCACGCUGUCCCGACGUAACUGGGCAUCCGUAUUUGAUCUGGCAACCCUGCGUGACUUGACACCUUUAUUCGAGACCCCCCCAACAGCAGCCCCACUCAGUAUAUCCACAGCUGACUUCCCAGGAAACAAACUCAACCAUCCAGUGCGUUGUACAAAUGAAAAACGAUCCUGCCUGCAGAGACGGCCCCCAGUCUCCAAUUCAUUCCACCUCCCAGGACAAGCCUACAACAUCCUUUACUGACAUCUCCUUCAGGGAAACAAACAGCAAAACAAGCAGAACAUGCCCACCCCAGAUGGGGAGUUAUGAAGCCUGACACCCAUCCAAAGCUCCUGCAGCUAGAUGUGGCUCUUGGCUCUGAUCCUGACCCCUCCUGGGGGCCUCAAUGGAUUCUGACCCAUGGAUUUGUUCCUGAGGGAAGAAUGCAUGUUGCAUUUUGCCAAGUUGCUCUCAGCUUUUUCCUGCCUGUAUGCCAUCUUUCUGCAAACUACCAGCGCUGGCCGCCUCGCACAGCGAUAAUCAGCCUGUCAGUCAAUAAACUGAAGAUGUUGGUGGUGUGCUGGGGUUGGUGGCCAGCAGUGAGAGCCCUGAGAGUUAUAAAUUCAAGAUGAGAAUUGAGAUGUUGCCAAGGCUUCACAGAGUCCCUGAUUUACUAGGAAAUUGUUCCCUAGCCUUGACUGCUGGCCCUGUUAUGCAAGGGACUUUGUGUGGGCUGGGGGGAUGGUUGAAGGAAAGACAAAAAAUAAAAGACCAGAAGCCAGUGUUUAGGCACAGUGGAUAGGACAUUCCCUACCCCACUGCAUUUGGUCACCUAUGGUCUGCUAUUUAACCUGUCUUAACCAUGUUCUGAUUUGCAUGUGCUUGCUUACUUUCUCCAACUAUUUUACAGACCCCUUGAAGGCAGACACUGGCUCAUAUUUCUGGUGUCUUCCUCCCCCACCCCAUUCUAGGCCUCUAGCACCACGCUGGGCUCAUGGGAAAGCCGAUUGAUUAACUGGCUGAAUGUGGAGGAGGAGGGGUUAAUUAAUCCUAGAAAGAAGGCCUCCCAGAGAAGUCCUCCAUGCCUGCUCCCUGAGGACCAUGAACCUCCCCUAGUCACCCUCUGCCAGCCCAGGCCCUCCUGAGCCUGGUUCUGACACUGUGGGCUCUAGACUGGGCCUUCCUCCUUCAGCCUCUGGGGACAGGUUGCUGGCCUGCAGUUCUGAAUAUUUCAGUUGGCUCCAUGCGUAGGGCCUGCUCCAAGGCCAAUCUGAAUGAAUUUGGCCACCUCCCUGUUUUACAAGUCCCGUUCCUAAACUGGAGCCUACAAACAUCUCCCUGCCUUCCUGCACAACGUGUGGCUCUGUUCCCUCAGAGAGAAAACAGUCUGAACCGUCCUGAGCCCAUUUCCUUUCCAGGUUUUGCUAGUCUCUUCUCUCGUUGAGGAAGGAUGUGCUGGGCCCCAGCCCUGGGUGUGCAUGGGGCAGCAACCUGGGCAGCAGUUAGAGAACAGCAAAGGAGGGUCUCCACUCUCCUGAAGCUCCCAGCCCACUGCGGGGACCAGAACAUAAGGAUCAUUGCGAAACCCGUCGAGGCCAUGUUUGCUUGAUAAGCACCACAUGUGUGGAGAGAGAGCUCAUCCCAGCCCAGCUUUGGCUCUCCUGGGUGGGCUGGGGUCUGGGGGGAACCCACAGAAAAAAUGGGAAGAGAAUGCUUCCAAGAGCAUGGAGAGCCAGCUCAGCUACUCACCAGCUGUGUGACUUUGGGCAAAUUACCUAACAUCUCAGGAGUUAGGUUCUUUAUCCACACACCAAGAUUCCCUGAUAUUCUAGGAUUCUGAUGGGGCAUGGCACAGAGCUGCAGCCUUGUUGCUACAAGGCUUUGAGAACUCACUGAGCUUGAGGCAGAGGUCCAGACCAGCAGGGAGGGGCCUGGGGCCUGUGAUCCUAAGCACAGCUUCUCAUGACUGCUAGGUGAGAGGGGUCACACCUGAGAGACUAUGGGGCCAGAACCGAAUCCUUGAGUCUGGAGAUCAGGUGCCUCAGGCCUGGGCUUCAACGCACCCCUGUCCCUGCUUCCCUGGGUCCAUGGCUGCAGUGAGCAAGAAAAAAAGAACCCUAGAUGGGGGGCGGGGCAGAAGCCACAUCAGCACCAACCAGGGCAAACAAAGAUGAACUGUCUUCUAGGCUUGAGGUUGUUCAUUUGCAAACAACAGUAUUUGAGUUGCCACUGUUCCCCGCCUGCCAGGCCAACAGAGGCUGUCUGUGCG